UUGAACGCUGGCGGCAUGCCUUACACAUGCAAGUCGAACGGUAACAGGGAGCUUGCUCCGCUGACGAGUGGCGAACGGGUGAGUAAUGUAUCGGAACGUACCAUUGAGUGGGGGAUAACGUAGCGAAAGUUACGCUAAUACCGCAUAUUCUCUCCGGAGGAAAGCAGGGGACCGCAAGGCCUUGCGCUCUUUGAGCGGCCGAUAUCAGAUUAGCUAGUUGGUGGGGUAAAAGCUCACCAAGGCGACGAUCUGUAGCGGGUCUGGGAGGAUGAUCCGCCACACUGGAACUGAGACACGGUCCAGACUCCUACGGGAGGCAGCAGUGGGGAAUUUUGGACAAUGGGGGCAACCCUGAUCCAGCCAUGCCGCGUGAGUGAAGAAGGCCUUCGGGUUGUAAAGCUCUUUCGGCCGGGAAGAAAUCGUAUCAGCUAAUACCUGGUGCGGAUGACGGUACCGGCAUAAGAAGCACCGGCUAACUACGU
rnacentral:rRNA from 1 species